GGGAGGGUGAAGUUGGCCGGGCCAACCUUUGAUUGAUACUCAAAAGGUGCGUUUCAUACACGUAUGCGGUUCGACUCCGCCGCCCUCCGA
rnacentral:tRNA from 1 species